rnacentral:rRNA from 1 species
UACGUAGGGGGCAAGCGUUGUCCGGAUUUACUGGGCGUAAAGAGCGUGUAGGCGGCCAUACAGGUCCGUUGUGAAAACUGGAGGCUCAACUUCCAGACGUCGACGGAAACCGUGUGGCUAGAGUCCGGAAGAGGAGAGUGGAAUUCCUGGUGUAGCGGUGAAAUGCGCAGAUAUCAGGAAGAACACCUAUGGCGAAGGCAGCUCUCUGGGACGGUACUGACGCUGAGACGCGAAAGCGUGGGGAGCGAACAGG